rnacentral:rRNA from 1 species
GACAGAAGAUGCAAGCGUUACUCGGAAUUACUGGGCGUAAAGGGUCCGCAGGUGACUGACCACGUCUGGGGUAAAGCACGUCGCUCAACGGCGUGUAUGUCCCGGAAACGAGUCGGAUUGAGCUACUCAGAGGCAUCUGGAAUGUUGUGUGUAGGGGUAAAAUCCGUUGAUCCACAAUGGAACGCCAAAAGCGAAAGCAGGAUGCUGGGGGUAUGCUGACACUCAUGC